rnacentral:rRNA from 1 species
GACGAACGCUGGCGGCGUGCUUAACACAUGCAAGUCGAACGGAAAGGCCCUGCUUUUGUGGGGUGCUCGAGUGGCGAACGGGUGAGUAACACGUGAGUAACCUGCCCUUGACUUUGGGAUAACUUCAGGAAACUGGGGCUAAUACCGGAUAGGAGCUCCUGCUGCAUGGUGGGGGUUGGAAAGUUUCGGCGGUUGGGGAUGGACUCGCGGCUUAUCAGCUUGUUGGUGGGGUAGUGGCUUACCAAGGCUUUGACGGGUCGCCGGCCUGAGAGGGUGACCGGCCACAAUGGGACUGAGAGACGGCCCAGUCGGCUACGGGAGGCAGCAGGGGGGAAUAUUGCACAAUGGGCGGAAGCCUGAUGCGGCGACGCCGGGUUCGGGAUGACGGCCUGCGGGUUGAAAACCGCUUUCGCCUGUGACGAAGCGGGAGUGACGGUAAUGGGUAAAGAAGCACCGGCUAACUACGUG